UACGUAGGUGGCAAGCGUUGUCCGGAUUUACUGGGCGUAAAGAGCGCGCAGGCGGUCGUUCAAGUCGAGUGUGAAAGCCCCCGGCUCAACUGGGGAGGGUCACUCGAUACUGAUCGACUCGAAGGCAGAAGAGGGAAGCGGAAUUCCCGGUGUAGUGGUGAAAUGCGUAGAUAUCGGGAGGAACACCAGUGGCGAAGGCGGCUUUCUCGGUCUGCUCUUGACGCUGAGGCGCGAAAGCU
rnacentral:rRNA from 1 species